rnacentral:rRNA from 1 species
AACGAACGCUGGCGGCAUGCCUAACACAUGCAAGUCGAACGAGACCUUCGGGUCUAGUGGCGCACGGGGGCGUAAGGCGUGGGAACCUGCCCUUAGGUUCGGCAUAACUCCCCGAAAGGGGUGCUAAUACCGGAUAAUGUCUUCGGACCAAAGAUUUAUCGCCUUUGGAUGGGCCCUCGUUGGAUUAGCUGGUUGGUAGGGUAAAAGCCUACCAAGGCGACGAUCCCUAGCUGGUCUGAGAGGAUGAUCAGCCACUCUUGGACUGAGACACGGCCCAGACUCCUACGGGAGGCAGCAGUGGGGAAUAUUGGACCAUGGGCGAAAUCCUGAUCCAGCAAUGCCGCGUGAGUGAUGAAGUCCUUAGGGUUGUAAAGCGCUUUUACCCGGGAUGAUAAUGACAGUACCGGGAGAAUAAGCUCCGGCUAACUCCGUG